GAACCUUGUUGAAAACGUGUUGCCAUAGUGAAGGUGUGCCUUCGCCAUUUAUUCAACAAUGUGCUGAUAUCUGUGUUAGUCCAGUCUACUGAACAUCGCUCAUAAACCUCCAUGAUGUCCCGCCACAGACAUCCUACCUGUCUGAAUCCAUCAGAGAAGUUGUUUUUGUAGUAGCGGAUGACGGAGUUCCAGCCGUCCAUCAGAAGCCCCCACCUGGUCCUCUUCCCCGUCCUGAUGGGGAUAUCGGCUUUGAUUAAAGGGGCCCUCCAGGACACACCACCACCACCACGGCCCGCUCGUAUGCUACUGUACCUCGUGAAGUCAGUUUUCAGGGCGCCAGUUCCUGCGUACUGUACGGCGCAUGCGUUGGCGUUGUCGGCCCAUGCUAGUUGGAGCACACAAACAACAGUGAGGGCUCAUUCCCACCAACACGUCACAUGCUUACAGCACACGGAGGACAUCACCAUUCCUGUAGAUCUUCUCAAACUCGGCUUGCUCUUCAAUCCGCUGACCCACAUUGAGAACGCCCAUCCUCUUGAAGCUACCUGUAUUGCUCUUGUGUCUCAGCGACGUUAUCCACUAGGAUCUGCAGGCGGUCCCACCUCAUGUGGCUGCACUCUUUGUGGAAGUCAAAGGCAACGUAGCUGAGGAAAGGACAGUGAAAGUCAAAAGCCUUCGGGAGUAGAUAUCGUUUUAGUGUGAACUCAAGGUCUCUAUGCAGGAGUAACACCAGAUGAACCGGCUUCCUCCAGCAGCAGGUCCACCGAGCAGCAGCACAAGAACCGAAGACCACAAAAGAAGGUUCAAGGAGACAAUGCAGAGCAUCAAAACAUCCUCCCCCAUUAAGUUCUAUGUUCAAACCGCCCAGACCACAUCCCUCUGGUCACUCCGCAUGGCCAGCAAACAGCACCAUUACAUUACAAUCCAUGAAGCUCACUGAGUGAGUGUGAACCAGGAGGCCAGGCUAUUAAAGACAUGCUGCCGGUGUACACAGACAACCGGGUGUCUCUGAGUAGCCUGAAUGAAGUCGUAAGGGACAAUGUCCUCUGCGAGCGAGUCAGGGAGGCACUUACUUGAGCAUAGCGUGGUCCAUGUCAGACACCAUCUUGGCAAAGGCCUGCUCUAGUGGCUUCUCUGAGCCCUUCUGGUUCACCUGGAACAAAACCCCAUCACACCAACUGGCCUCUGACAUUCAUUUACAGGGAAAGAAUGAUUAAGGGUCCUCACCAGAUUCAGAAUGGUUUGCUUGCCGUAGACCAGAAGCUGAGAGUCAAAGUGCCUCUGGAAACCAUCCAUCUACACAACGUUUUCAAAAGGUUAGCAUGGUCUCCUCCCACUGACGAGCCGCAGAAAGCAACAACGCUUACGUGAUUAGUGGUUUUGGUAAUGACAGGUUUGGGUUUGUACUUCAGGUUGGGCCUCUGACUCCAGUAAAAGGGGAUGGAGCCUCGUGUCUGGGGCGAGAGAGAAGGGAAAUCAGCACGUCUCAAUGUGAAUACAGAGAGAGGGGUAGAAACAAGCCAGGCGGCGAGUACCUGUAUGAAUGACGCCCUGGCUCCCUCAUACAGAACGAUCUGCUCCGUCUCCACAAAGUUGGCAGCAUGGCCUUCAGAGUCGAUGCCUGGAGGCAGCAGCACACGUCAGCAGUGAGGCGGACAACCUUCAUAUUGCACAAAGAGGGAGGUCUACCUCUCACGUAGUAUCUGACGCCGGCCCGGAAGCAGCUCCUCCUGGAUAUGAGGAUCCACUCAAAGAUCUUUCCGUUUAUACGACAUGGCUUCAUGACGAUGACUGCAGGCGGGUCAAGGAAACGCGUUCUAUCUACCGGGAGCCGCAGAUCACACGAGACGACAUCACAGAGCAUCACAUAUGAGAUUCAGCAGAAAGGAUACAGCCGUGGACAACUGGAAGAGCAAACCUAUGGAGCUGUGGGGAAGCAGUAGCAUCAUUGUGAUGACACGAGGAGAAAGAACAAACAGGCCAAGUCACUGGUGUUACCUCUGGCUGUGCAGACAGCUCUCUCAGAAGGUUCCCGUUCCACACAAACCUCUGAUCCGCCUGAGAAGCACAACAAUCCCAUCAGUCAUCAGGCGCAUGAUCCGCACCAGCUUCUGAUCUACCUCCUAAGGGCCAUUUAACCGAGCAGCAGAGGGAUGCUCCGUCAGCCAGACCCUAUCAAGGGGGUCUGGGACGAGUUGACUGGUACCGGAUAGUUUAGUAACUCAUGACAGCUGAAUCCACAUUUAGUCCUCUGCGUGUAGGAUGGGCGCACAAGAAGAGUAUCACACAUUCCCUGAUUAACCCUUAACGUCCCUCUGCAGAGCCAAAUGUCUCACCCUCUCCAGCAGGCUCAUCUCGUGGAAGUCAGGGCUGGUGUUGGCCAGCCGCUGCAGAGUGUGUGUCAGGUCGUAGUCAGUGCAGAAGUAGAAGCCGUCCGUCAUCAGUACGUUGUUUAUCAUGGACAGGAAGGUCUUAUUCUCCUGAGUCUGCAGGCGGGAAACAAACACGCCGUUAGGAGAAGCAGGACGAUACACUUGAGAGAAGUGCUCACUUGUUUUUAUGCUGCUGCUGUGCGUCCGGAUGCAUCUCUCAUCUGCCUGUACAGAGUUCAUCUCUGCAGGUUAACAGGCCACUAACUUAAUCACCAUCAGAGGAUAUCCACUAACUAGAUCAGUUCUACCAGGCAUCAGACUUGCAGUAGAAAGUACAAACUAGGCUGUAACAGUCGACACAGGUCUGACCUGGAGGCUGCAGAUUAAUAAUGCACUGAAAUACGAGUCCAGACUGUAAAGAAUGGCUGAAACAUGAGGUCUGACUCAGUACUCAACAAUCAAACAGAGCCAAUUCAGCAACGAUGAGGAAAUACUAUGAAGACGCAACUUCACAACCUGAUUUGGACAACGAGUGGUCACUAAUGUGAUCAUCUAAAAACAGUCAAAGAAGUUAUUCCUGGAUAGCAUGAACGACACCAGAGCAGAUAGAUGGAAGCGUUUAGUCUUAUUGACCAGAUUUUAUUGUUGUUGGUAUUUCUGUCGACCACUAAAAGUAAUCUGCACUAUCGUGCUGCUCUGUUCACACCACGUGACACUGGAGCUCCUCCUUCUCCCGUGGAAGAGUCGUGUUUUUGUACUUGGCUUCUACAGGAGUGUGGGCGCACGCCUGACUAUUGACUGAAUAAAACAGACUACAUAGGCGACAACAGCUUCAUGCACUGGUUUGAUUAUUUGCCGUUCCAUGUUUACAGCUCAGCUCACUCAGAGCGUUGAAUGUCGGUACUGUAGAACCUUCAGGUUCAGUCACUGAAUGAAGCCUGACGUGUGUGGGAACUUUGGCAUCAUAAUGAGCCGUCGUGCAGGAACCUGAAUGAAGCGCUGGAGGACUGUAGAGAAGAACGCACAGAGCGGGCAGCUUGUCCAAAUACCGGAUCCUAUAAUCAAUUAGGGGGUGCAUUCCUCGGGACCAGUCCAAGAGUCAGUGAUCAGAAAACUGGGACUAACUACACGGCACUGGUAUAAGGACACGUGGGGAAAAGUUAGACGUUGUGCAAAUUGCCAUGACAGGGAGUUAAAGUUACUUCCUAAAUGGAUACACCUAGAAAGGACUCAUGAGUAAACAUGAAAAUCCCGUCCAGCGAGCGUCAGAGAGAGAAGGAAGCACAAUAGACCCACGGUACAGACAUCUGCCACAGUUUGGAACAGGAUUCUAUCCUUUAGAACAUAACGAUUCAGAAGUGUGCAGCAUCAUAGCGACAUCUCCGAGGCUUAUGGCAAACCAACCUGUUCCAAAAGUACGUGCACCACUGCCAACACACACACACACACACACACACACACACACACUUCAGGCUAACCAGCAGCCAGCUUGAUACCUGCUGGCUCGGACACCAACUACAGGCGUUGAGUCUCAGCUGUGCAGAGGAUCUGUUCACUUGGCUGCAUUUGCUUUCUGGGUCGCGUCUUUAGUAUUCGCUUCAUCCGGAAUCAUUGGAGUCUGUGCAUUGUCUUUGCAUGGAAUCGACUCCCCCAAAUAAUUUGCUUGGCUUUUGGAUGUACCAUAAGAGCCCUUUGUCACCAUUGAAAUAUAUAUUGUGCUUCUUUUCUGACAUAGUGAAGACAUGAAAAGGUUGCUUUUGAAAUCCACAGGACUUGAGAUCAGGAAAAGGGUGGAUCUGUAGCUCCGGGUGCACUGAGACAGAACCACAUGAGAGAAUUCUGGCUGACCUGGACCUCUGAGAGAUGCAGCAGCGUCUUCUUAUAAGAGAUCACGUCAAAAUCCACAGCCUUCCACACAGCGUGCCCCAGGAAGCUCCCCACGUUCCUCUUCCUGGUGAUGACUAUCAGGUACAUCCCUGGGUGGGGGAGGGGGGCAGUCAGCGGUUUACCAGCAUGAUGUCCAAGGCGUCCACAUCGGCGCGCUACCUACCUGCUACCAGGCGCACGGUUCCCAUGAUGCCACAUAUGGGCCUGGUGACCGUUGAGGGGGGGAGGCCUUUCCUACCUGGGAAGGGGAGCAAAAUACAACGUCUACUCAGCUUCCUCACAAACUGGAUACGAUGCUGAUAUUUCUAUCUGGAUAGUGAUGAAUAUUCAUAAUCAGGAUGACCAGAGAUGUCAAGUAACGAAGUACAAAUACUUCGUUACUGUACUUAAGUAGAAAUUUUGGGUAUCUAUACUUUACUGGAGUAUUUAUUUUUCAGACGACUUUUUACUUCUACUCCUUACAUUUACACGUAAAUAUCUGUACUUUCUACUCCUUACGUUUUAAAAACAGCCUCGUUACUUUCGGCUUGUCACAAACACAAAAACCCGUCCAGAUAAAUGGCGCUAUGCGGACAGU
ensembl:lncRNA